AAGUCGAACGGUAACAGGAAGCAGCUUGCUGCUUUGCUGACGAGUGGCGGACGGGUGAGUAAUGUCUGGGAAACUGCCUGAUGGAGGGGGAUAACUACUGGAAACGGUAGCUAAUACCGCAUAACGUCGCAAGACCAAAGAGGGGGACCUUCGGGCCUCUUGCCAUCGGAUGUGCCCAGAUGGGAUUAGCUAGUAGGUGGGGUAACGGCUCACCUAGGCGACGAUCCCUAGCUGGUCUGAGAGGAUGACCAGCCACACUGGAACUGAGACACGGUCCAGACUCCUACGGGAGGCAGCAGUGGGGAAUAUUGCACAAUGGGCGCAAGCCUGAUGCAGCCAUGCCGCGUGUAUGAAGAAGGCCUUCGGGUUGUAAAGUACUUUCAGCGGGGAGGAAGGCGAUAAGGUUAAUAACCUUGUCGAUUGACGUUACCCGCAGAAGAAGCACCGGCUAACUCCGUGCCAGCAGCCGCGGUAAUACGGAGGGUGCAAGCGUUAAUCGGAAUUACUGGGCGUAAAGCGCACGCAGGCGGUCUGUCAAGUCGGAUGUGAAAUCCCCGGGCUCAACCUGGGAACUGCAUUCGAAACUGGCAGGCUAGAGUCUUGUAGAGGGGGGUAGAAUUCCAGGUGUAGCGGUGAAAUGCGUAGAGAUC
rnacentral:rRNA from 1 species